ensembl:snRNA U4 U4 spliceosomal RNA
AGCUUUGCACAGUGGAAUAUUGUGGCCAAUGAGGUUUAUCUGCAGUGUGAUUAUUGCUAAUUGAAAACUUCCCAAUAACCUGCUGUGAUGACUUGCAAUAGAGUUGGCAAUGGCCAUGUUUGGCGGUCUCUACGGAGA